ACAUGUUCUGUUUUGUUAGAGAUGUGUAGAAAAUGUUUCUCAGCAAGCCGUUAAUUUUAUAGAAGCUGAAGAUGAGCUUAUUUUAGAUAUAAUUUGAUUUAACAAUUUUACCUUCAUUAUCUUGUGAAGUUCUACUUUAGUGCACUACAGACUAAUUGUUUACUUUGUCUACUGUUAAAAUAUGGUUUUAACUUAGUAAGCUUGAAUUAUUUUUAGUUAACU